CCGCCUCCGGCGACAAGGUGGCCGAUUGUGGCUGCUUUCCCUGAACAGGGGAUAGCCGGGGGUGUUUUA
rnacentral:ncRNA from 1 species